rnacentral:misc_RNA from 1 species
CUAACCUGUUGUAAGCCCGCAGCUUUGGGCCUGGUCUCUGCUGCUCCCAGGCGGCCCCUUUGGGUACUGCCUGAGCAAGAAGUGCUGGAGAGGAGGACCAGUCAUCAAUAGGAGGAUGAGAUUGGGAGAGACACUCGGUGCAGGAGGCUGAGUGAGCAGGGGAGCACUAAGACCCAGGGGUAGUGGAGGACUGCAGCAACGAGCUGGAGGAGGAGAAGGAAGGCCCGGCGACUGAAGCAGGCAAAGGAGGAGGCACAGAUGGAGGUGGAGCAAUACCGCAGAGAGCGAGAGCACGAAUUCCAGAGCAAGCAGCAGGCGGCCAUGGGCUCCCAGGGGAACCUGUCUGCUGAGGUGGAGCAGGCUACAAGGCGCCAGGUGCAGGGCAUGCAGAGCUCCCAGCAGAGAAACCGAGAGCGUGUCCUGGCCCAGCUUCUUGGCAUGGUCUGCGACGUCAGGCCCCAGGUCCACCCCAACUACCGGAUU